rnacentral:misc_RNA from 1 species
UACGAAGGGGGCUAGCGUUGCUCGGAAUUACUGGGCGUAAAGCGCACGUAGGCGGCGAUCCAAGUUAGAUGUGAAAGGCCUGGGCUUAACCCGGGAACUGCAUUUGAUACUGGAUUGCUAGAGUCCAAGAGAGGGUAGUGGAAUUCCCAGUGUAGAGGUGAAAUUCGUAGAUAUUGGGAAGAACACCAGUGGCGAAGGCGGCUACCUGGCUUGGUACUGACGCUCAGGUGCGAAAGCGUGGGGAGCGAACAGG